GGGUAAAGCUGGCGGCGUGCCUAUACAUGCAGUCGACGGGGAUUUCAGCAAUGGGAUCCUAGUGGCGAACGGGUGAGUAACGCGUUGGUGACCUGCCCCGAAGAGAGGGAUAACAGACCGAAAGGUUUGCUAAUACCGCAUAAGCUCGAGCUAGUCAGAGAGGCUUGAGGAAAGGCCGAAAGGCGCUUUGGGAGGGGCCUGCGUCCCAUCAGCUAGUUGGCGAGGUAAAAGCUCACCAAGGCGAUGACGGGUAGGGGACCUGAGAGGGUGACCCCCCACAAUGGAACUGAAACACGGUCCAUACACCUACGGGUGGCAGCAGUAGGGAAUAUUGGUUAAUGGGCGAAAGCCUGACCCAGCAACGCCGCGUGCGCGAUGAAGGCCUUCGGGUUGUAAAGCGCUUUUAAGUGGGAUGAGGAAGGACAGUACCACUAGAAUAAGUCUCGGCUAACUACGUGCCAGCAGCCGCGGUAACACGUAGGAGACGAGCGUUAUCCGGAUUUACUGGGUGUAAAGCGCGUGCAGGCGGUAUGGAAAGUUGGAUGUGAAAGCUCCCGGCUUAACUGGGAGAGGUCGUUCAAAACUACCAAACUAGAGUACAGCAGAGGGGAGUGGAAUUCCGAGUGUA
rnacentral:rRNA from 1 species